rnacentral:rRNA from 1 species
GAUGGCUUAGAACGAACGCUGGUGGCGUGUCUUAUACAUGCAAGUCGAGCGAGGCAGCAAUGCCGAGCGGCGAACGGGUGAGUAACGCGUAAGCAAUCUGCCCCAUAUCAGGAAAUACCCGUGCCAACGCGCGGUUAAUGUCCAGGAGAGUGGCCUUCCGCAUGGAGGGUUGACUAGAGAUUUAUCGGUAUGGGAUGAGCUUGCGUCCGAUUAGCUAGUUGGCGGGGCAACGGCCCACCAAGGCGACGAUCGGUAGCCGGCCUGAGAGGGUGAUCGGCCACAUUGGGACUGAGAUACGGCCCAGACUCCUACGGGAGGCAGCAGUAGGGAAUAUUGCACAAUGGGGGAAACCCUGAUGCAGCAACGCCACGUGUGGGAAGAAGCAUUUCGGUGUGUAAACCACUGUCAUGAGGGAAUAAGGCCCGCCUUCGGACGGGAUUGAAUGUACCUUGAGAGGAAGCACCGGCAAACUUCGUGCCAGCCGCAGC